rnacentral:lncRNA from 1 species
CACCUUUUUCAUCAUGCCAAAAUAUUUUUUGUGUGAAUAUUGUUAUGCCAAUCUAAGAUUUGUUGCCCACUUUUCUAAGUCCCUAAGAUAUGGAUUGAGCUUGGUUCAAAAUAGAAUUCAAAUCUGAUUUGAAUUCAUGAUAAGAUCAAAUCUUGUUUGAACCUAAACCAAAAUAAUCAAACUCUAUGCUUAUCUUGAUGGGAUGCCACUUUAAGCAGGGGUGAUUUUUGUGCACCUCAUAAGAUUAUUUUUGGUGUGAGAGAACCUCAGAGAGGGGG